UGUUGUUUCCUUAGACUACCGUACAAUCUCUUGCAGCAGUUCUCUUGUGUAGAAGGUUCAUUGCAACUGAAAAAAAUGAAGUUUUGAAGUAUGACAUGAGAAGACAGGAUGGCAAAAGGACUGCAGUGAUCCCAAUUCUGUUGCUUAGUUAAAUUUCGAGGGAGAAAGAGAAUGCCAAAAGGUUUGGUAGGUUAUGGAAGAAGAAGUUGGACGUGAGAAUCAUCUAGAAAUAAAUUAACAGGUAUUAAAAAAAAAUAAUUCUUA
ensembl:lncRNA